AUUGAACGCUGGCGGCAGGCUUAACACAUGCAAGUCGAGCGAGCGGCGGACGGGUGAGUAAUGUCGGGGAAACUGCCUGAGGGAGGGGGAUAACUACUGGAAACGGUAGCUAAUACCGCAUAACAUCAUGUGUGCCCAGAUGGGUUUGGCUAGUAGGUGGGGUAAUGGCUCACCUAGGCGUCGAUCCCUAGCUGGUCUGAGAGGAUGACCAGCCACACUGGAACUGAGACACGGGCCAGACUCCUACGGGAGGCAGCAGUGGGGAAUAUUGCACAAUGGGCGCAAGCCUGAUGCAGCCAUGCCGCGUGUGUGAAGAAGGCCUUCGGGUUGUAAAGCACUUUCAGCGGGGAGGCGUUACUCGCAGAAGAAGCACCGGCUAACUCCGUGCCAGCCGCCGCGGUAAUAC
rnacentral:rRNA from 1 species